CCUACGGGGGGCAGCAGUGGUGGAUAUUGCACAAUGGGGGAAACCCUGAUGCAGCGACGCCGCGUGGGUGAAGAAGUAUUUCGGUAUUUAAAGCCCCAUCAGCAGGGAAGAAAGAAGACGGUACCUGACUAAGAAGCCUCGGCUAACUACGUCCCAGCAGCCGCGGUAAUACGUAGGGGCCGAGCGUUAUCCGGAUUCACGGGGUGUAAAGGGAGCGUAGGGGGCUGUGCAAGCCAGGAGUGAAAGCCCGGGGCCCAACCCCGGGACUGCACUUGAAACUGGGCGGUGGGAGUGCGGGAGGGGGAGGCGGAAUUCGUGGUGUAGCGGUGAAAUGCGUAGAUAUCAGGAAGAACACCGAGUGCGAAGGCAGCCUGCUGGACCGCGACUGACGUUGAGGCUCGAAAGCGUGGGGAGCGAACAGGAUUAGAUACCCGGGUAGUC
rnacentral:rRNA from 1 species